GUAGGGAAUAUUGGGCAAUGGUCGGAAGACUGACCCAGCCAUGCCGCGUGCAGGAAGACGGCCCUCUGGGUUGUAAACUGCUUUUAUCUGGGAAGAAAACGGCCAUGCGUGGCAAAUUGCCGGUACCAGAUGAAUAAGCACCGGCUAACUCCGUGCCAGCAGCCGCGGUAAUACGGAGGGUGCGAGCGUUGUCCGGGUUUAUUGGGUUUAAAGGGUGCGUAGGCGGCUGAUUAAGUCAGCGGUGAAAGACUUCGGCUUAACCGGGGCAGUGCCGUUGAUACUGGUUGGCUUGAGUGUCGGAGGGGUACAUGGAAUUGAUGGUGUAGCGGUGAAAUGCAUAGAUACCAUCAGGAACACCGAUAGCGAAGGCAUUGUACUGGCCGACAACUGACGCUGAUGCACGAAAGUGUGGGGAUCGAACAGGAUUAGAAACCCCGGUAGUCC
rnacentral:rRNA from 1 species